rnacentral:rRNA from 1 species
CCUACGGGUGGCUGCAGUGGGGAAUAUUGGACAAUGGGCGAAAGCCUGAUCCAGCCAUGCCGCGUGUGUGAAGAAGGCCUUCGGGUUGUAAAGCACUUUCAGUGGGGAAGAAAGCCUUGGGGCUAAUACCCUCGAGGAAGGACAUCACCCACAGAAGAAGCACCGGCUAACUCCGUGCCAGCAGCCGCGGUAAUACGGAGGGUGCGAGCGUUAAUCGGAAUUACUGGGCGUAAAGCGCGCGUAGGCGGUCUGAUAAGCCGGUUGUGAAAGCCCCGGGCUCAACCUGGGAACGGCAUCCGGAACUGUCAGGCUAGAGUGCAGGAGAGGAAGGUAGAAUUCCCGGGGUAGCGGUGAAAUGCGGAGAGAUCGGGAGGAAUACCAGUGGCGAAGGCGGCCUUCUGGACUGACACUGACGCUGAGGUGCGAAAGCGUGGGUAGCAAACAGGAUUAGAUACCCCGGGUAGUC